rnacentral:lncRNA from 1 species
GAUCAUAAAAACGGACCGAAAGAACUUAGAACUAAUACGCAAAGUCGGGGAUCAUAAAAACGGACCAAAAGAACAUAGAGCUAAUACGCAAAGUCGGGGAUCAUAAAAACGGACCGAAAGAACUUAGAGCUAAUACGCAAAGUCGGGGUUCAUAAAAACGGACCGAAAGAACUUAGAGCUAAUACGUAAAGUCGUAGAUCAUUAAAACGGACUGAAAGAACUCAGAGCUAAUACGCAAAGUUGAGGAUCAUAAAAACGGACCGAAAGAACUUAGAGUUAACACGCAAAGUUGGGGAUCAUAAAAACGGACAGAAAUAACUUAGAGCUAAUACGCAAAGUCGGGGAUCAUAAAAACGGAGCGAAAGAACUUAGAGUUAAUACGCAAAGUCGGGGAUCAUAAAAACGGACCGAAAGAACUUAGAGCUAAUACGCAAAGUCGGGGAUCAGAAAAACGGACCAAAAGAACUUAGAGCUAAUACGCAAAUUUGGGGAUAAUAAAAACGGACCAAAAAAACUUAGCGCUAAUACGCAAACUUGA